rnacentral:lncRNA from 1 species
GGCGGUUCCUUAGUUACGAAAUGUCAACUUUGGAUUUGACGGAAGCUUACGAGAAAAUCAUGUAAAUUAGAAAUGGCGAAUGUUGGGUUUGAGAAUUAGAAGAAUUAAAUAGUUUUUUUCUAGCGGUUAUUCACGAAAUAACCCAUGCAAGCUACGGAUUUAUUAUGAUAUUUGAGCUUUAUCUAACAGGGAGUAAAAAAGAUCAGCCACACCCACACACCAAGCCA